rnacentral:lncRNA from 1 species
GCCAAACAAUUUUAAGACAACCAAUUAACUUGACAAGGAGUGCAUACAGUACAGGAAAACAAGAAUCCUAUGUGUAGCUAUAUAAACCAUGAGACAAAUAAUAAGAGUGUGUAAACAAAUCGGAUUCAAAAUACCAAUUGGUAGAUUUGUAGCAAGUAAAAAACAAGAAUUGGAAUAAUAAGAGAACUAAACUUGGAUUAUGAAUUAUGAAAAGAAAGAGGAACUUACAAGAAUAAUAAUGAGAUUGAAAGGAAAAAAGAAAUAAGAGAAGGGUAGUUUGUGUAGGCAAUAUAGAGUUCCUGGGAAGAAGAAGAA